AGACUAUCCUGUCUUGAUCAGUGU
rnacentral:siRNA from 1 species